CCAAUAGCGUAUAUUAAAGUUGUUGCAGUUAAAAAGCUCGUAGUUGAACCUCGGGGUCUACCCAUUGGUCAGGCUUAAUUGUCUGCACUGGUGAGAUGGAUCUCUACCUUCUGAGGAACUUUCAUGCCAUUUAUUUGGUGUGAUGGGAAAUCAGGACUGUUACUUUGAAAAAAUUAGAGUGUUUAAAGCAGACUAUCGUCUGAAUACAUUAGCAUGGAAUAAUGAAAUAGGACGGACUGAUUCUAUUUCGUUGGUUUCUAGGAUCACCGUAAUGAUUAAUAGGGAUAGUUGGGGGCAUUAGUAUUCAAUUGUCAGAGGUGAAAUUAUUGGAUUUAUUGAAGACUAACUACUGCGAAAGCAUUUGCCAAGGAUGUUUUCAUUAAUCAAGAACGAAAGUUAGGGGAUCGAAGACGAUCAGAUACCGUCGUAGUCUUAACCAUAAACUAUGCCGACUAGGGAUCGGAUGAUGUUAAUUUUAUAAUGACUCAUUCGGCGCCUUACG
rnacentral:rRNA from 1 species